rnacentral:rRNA from 1 species
UACGUAGGGUGCAAGCGUUGUCCGGAAUCAUUGGGCGUAAAGCGCGUGUAGGCGGUUCGGCAAGUCUGCUGUGAAAGUCCAGGGCUCAACCCUGGGAUGCCGGUGGAUACAGUCGGACUAGAGUACGGAAGAGGCGAGUGGAAUUCCCGGUGUAGCGGUGAAAUGCGCAGAUAUCGGGAGGAACACCAGUUGCGAAGGCAGCUCGCUGGGACGUUACUGACGCUGAGGCGCGAAAGCGUGGGGAGCAAACAGG